CCUCGCCCCCCUCGAUCUGGACAGGGUCGCGGCCUGCCUACAACCACCGUCAGCCCGCCGCCGCGGCGCGCCUUGCCGGCCGACGCCUCCGUUGCCCCGCCGCCGGUACAGGUGCCCAGCAGCGCCUCCCUCCCUGGAGCAGCCGCUCCCGCGUAGCAACGCCGCCGCCCGAAGUUGCGCCGGCGACCCGUCCAGAGGCAGUCGCAGAUGAUUGAUCAACAGACCUACCUAUGAAGGUAGAGUGGAAGAACUGGAAAUAAAGAUGCAGGGAAAGGGCAAUGAUGCUGCAACAUCACUUGUUUCAUGGCAUAAAGAGAUAGAGGCACUUGAAUCUGAGCUCUCAGAGACCAAAGUUCUUGCACAGCAGAAAUCAUUUGAGCUUUUACUCUUAUAGCCAAGUUUCAAGAUGCGCAGGCAACUAUAUGUGAUGCAGACUCUACAGUCAAGGCACUGGUGGAAGCGAGUCAAAAUGCAAAACUCCAAGUAGAGAAGUUAGCUUACACUAGUCUGACCUUAUAUGCUGCUGCAUCUGUUAUUUAUGAACACCUUCUUUACGCUUGGCCAUGAUGGGAAGAGUCUUAAGACAUCUAAAAGGGUCAGAUUGAUGACUGUUCUUUUCCUUUGACCCUCCUACAAGAACUGAUGUGCUGGAAUGUUGGAAGUGUUAACUCCACGGGUCUCAAAUCUGAAAAUAUUUACGGGGGCCUUUGUUGCCACGAUCAUUACUGUGUAGAACUUUCUUGCUCUAGAGUGGCAUCCAAAUUAUGAAUAAGAAAUUGGACAAAUGGGUUGUAUACUAUUUGUUUCAUGAGUAGUCAGAAAGCUCAUGCCGGAUGCUGGUGUGCGUGAA